rnacentral:lncRNA from 1 species
GUCAUGGUCUCCAUGCUGCAUCCAUAACUUCUGGGGCUCACUGAUGGAUACAAAAACAAGCUACCACCCACAAGAGCCUUGUGACAGAGGCUGUGGAGUCACAGCUCAGGCCUGUCAGAGAGGUUGGUGGGGUGUGAAACACCUCACAGCCUCCCUAUCCUCUGGAGCUAAAAUCUGGCCCGAAGAGAUUGGAACUCAGUCCAGUGGAAACAGGAAUGUCUUGGUUGAGUCACUGGGAUGGGUCCUCAGGGUUACUCACAAAGAUUUUUGUGCUUCUACAUCCAUGGCCCAGCAAAUUCUGUGGCUGCUGUUUCUAUGAACAAGCAACUGGCUGGAUGGAAUCAGAGCCUCUAAGAAGUUCCUGGUCAACAGAGAAGCUGCAGCAUGAGGUCCAAGAUUUGAAAAUAAAAGCUCAACAGGGAAAAAGAGUGAGCUUCACCCUCCCCCUCGUAACAAAUGAAAGUCGUGUAUUGUUGGAAGCGGAUGGUGUCAGGACUAAAAUACUCUGCUGGGGACCUCUUGGCUCCAUUCAGUCUCCUGCUGUGAUCAGUUCUGUUUAGGAUAUUCCCAGCCUGUGGGUCUAGAAUUAGGAAACCAAGAUCCAGAGAGGUUCAGUGGAAGUUCUAGAAGGUUAUUCAGUGUCCUGUCUUUAGGAGCUGAAGUGUUGGAGAAGGACCACAACCUCUCAGUGUUGACUUGCCCAAAUGAGACAUUUCUCACAUUGUUGUUUUUGCCUCUGAACUGGAACCCUAAAAUAACAAAUAGUCAGCGGGGAUGAUCCAGUGAUUCAACCAUCAGCAUCCACAGUAGUCACCCAAGGCAGCUGCUCCCUUUAGCAUCCAUAAAAAUACCAACCACUCCACAGGACAGCUUGGAAGCCAAGGAAAUAAUCUCUUUAUUGAAAUUAAGUUG